UCUGAUCUCAGAUCAAGCAAGAAGACCCGCCGAAUUUAAGCAUAUAAUUAAGCGGAGGAAAAGAAACUAACCAGGAUUCCCCUAGUAAGGGCGACUGAAGCGGGAAUAGCUCACGAUGUGAAUCAGCGCUGCUUUGUGGCGCCGAAUUGUGGUCUGAAAACGUUUGCAUUACUGGCGGGGCCAAGUCCCUUGGAACAGGGCAGCCGAGAGGGUGAGACUCCCGUGUGCCCUGCCUUUGGAGCGAGCGUUUGACGAGUCGAGUUGUUUGGGAUUGCAGCUCUAAGCGGGGUGGUAAAUUCCAUCUAAAGCUAAAUAUUGGUGGGAGACCGAUAGCGUACAAGUACCGUGAGGGAAAGAUGCAAAGAACUUUGAAAAGAGAGUUAAAGAGUACCUGAAAUUGCUGAAAGGGAAGCGAAGGAAACCAGUGUUAGUUGCGUCAUAUUUCCCCAGUUGCUUGCAGCUGGGGCGCUGUGGCCAGCGUUGUC
rnacentral:rRNA from 1 species